rnacentral:sRNA from 1 species
AAAUUCUUUGCCACCUUUGACAAAGGGGUGCUGUGGCUCACACCUGUAAUCCCAACACUUUGGGAGGCUGAUGGGGGUGGAUUGCAUGAGCCUUGGAGUUGGAGACCAGCCUGGGCAACAUAGUUGCAAAGAAAUUAUCUUUGAAGAUGAAUGAGGUUGACUUCUAUGAGCCAUUUAUGGAUGAGCCCAUUGCCAUCCCCAACAAACCUUACACAGAAGA